GGGAAAAUGUGUGUUUUAGUGUUUGAGUCACUUUACAAAAUUGCUAAAAAUUUCCACACAAAUUUUAAAAGUUGCUAAAUUUGUUGGUAGUUGCUUUUUGAAAAAAGUUGUUUGGAUUGUCUGAAAAGUUGCUAAAUCUAGCAACAAAAGGGAUAAGUUGGC